AACUCCAAAAGAUUCGGUCGGAAUAAACCUACAAAGUCAGUAUCCCGAAAAUGCGAAAAUCUGGACAGAGUUCGAGAUGCUGACUUUGUGAGUUUAUUCCGAUCGAAUUCUUUGGAGUU
rnacentral:miRNA from 1 species